rnacentral:lncRNA from 1 species
AAUUUUAACUUCAGUACAAACACUAACAUUCAGAACAUACCAUAAAUCAUCUUACAUGGGUAUAUGUUCAAGGUAGCUAUCAUCAUUUGAAAUAGUGAUUUAUAUUUUCUUCUUCCUAUGCUUCGAAUAUAUUUUGAUAAUGUUGUCACUCCAAGUGCAAAGAAAUCUCUUCGUAGCAUCCAUUGACGAUGUUGUUUGGCUAUUACUAUAUGCCAAUUUCUGACUAAAAAAUCUCAAUUAUGACCUUUAUUGAGGUGUUCUUCGGUGUCUCUUCUCAUAGAUGAUGAUAAUGAUUUUCUGGUUUCCUCGGAACUAUAUGAUUCUAAUUCAACCAGUAGCUUAGAUGCACAUUCAAAUGACUUGGCAUGUUUCUCUUCCAUCAAACCAUUUUCACAUGAUGUUGCACGCUUAAACAGAGAUUUGACUUCCGUCUUCAUGUUCUUACACGUACAUCAAUCUAAUAUCCAAAUUCAAAAAAAAAUAAAUUCUUAUCUUGCUCAAAUAACAAGGUUUUUAUGUAUCAAUGUAUAAUUCAUGAAAAAAUGAUGACUUACAUUUGACUCAUAAUUACACAGAAUAAUGCAUACAAAUUUGACUAUAUAACUGACAUACCUAUAAAGCUCCUCUGCUAAUGAGUAUUUAUCUUGUUGCAAGUAGACCCAGGCCAAGUUCCCUAGCAACAUGCGUCAUAGAAUCAUGAAAAAUAAGACAUAUUCUAUAAUAAAGAACUCAUAUUAAAAUGAGUUAUAUAUUGCAUAAAUUCAUAAAUGAGAGAGUUAUUAAAACACUAUGAUCGAUAGUUAUAUAUAUAUAUUUCUUAUCUUCCUUUAAUCUCUUUUAUAUAUUUUUAUCUUUUAUAGUUAUAUUUUUUGGAAGUUAUAAGUAAAAAUAUAAAAAGACAUAAUUAUUGUUAAAUUCUACACUGUGCACACCAAAUAGUUUGAAUUCACAAGACUAUAAGAAAAUUUGAGUGACAAACUUACUUGUGCUUUUAUAAUAUACCAAGAACAACCUCACCACGAAGUGUACUGCAAUGAAAUAAUAUAGAUCAAUAACAAAAUCAAUUCAAAUAUAUUAUAAUAAAAGAAACUUAUACAAGUUUUUGUUUCGUGCACAAGAAUAUAGAUCUUUCUUGAAACAUAUCGAAUUUGAUGACAUAACUUUAAGAAAUUAAUUAUAUAAAAUAAAUGCACUCUAAUGAAAUCUACAAAUUCAAUUGGAAUAACUUUAAGGUAAUUUAAUCACCGUAAACAUCUAGAGAAAGUAAGCAACAUAUUUUAGACGUACUAGAAAAUUUGUAGAUCUAAUAAUCGUAGAUCUAAUUAAAAUCUAAUUAUACUAAGAUAUCUUUUAAACAAAUGAAAAAGUUAUAUAACAUUGAAAAUUAUUUAAAAAUAAUGAUAGAUCUAACAAUAUUAAAUUGAUCCUCAAUAAAUAAUUAAAAGAGAUUUCAUCAGUAUAGAGGAAGUAAAAGAUCUAAGCAGUUAAACGAAUAUAUAAAUGAUUGUAAUAUAUAAACCUGAUGAUUGAGUUUAAAAUCAUCUUCAUCAUUUGAUUCAUCAUCAUUAGUAUCUCUCAUAUCAUUUAUGCUGACUCCAGAAAUAAUCAUCUCGAGUUUAAGAAGAA